rnacentral:tRNA from 1 species
GCGGGCGUAGCUCAGCGGUAGAGCGACACGUUGCCAACGUGUAGGUCGAGGGUUCAAGCCCCUUCGCCCGCU